rnacentral:tRNA from 1 species
GGAUCCAUAGUUCAAUGGUAGAAUAGCCGCCUCCAGAGCGGUUGAUUAGGGUUCAAUUCCCUAUGGGUCCA